AGAGUAACCUUGCCCUUCAACUUACGGGAUAAACUACCGGGGAAACCGGGGCUAAUACUGGAUAUGACCUGGUGCCGCAUGGUGCUGGGUGGAAAGUUUUUCGGGGGGGGAUGGACUCGCGGCCUAUCAGCUUGUUGGUGAGGUAGUGGCUUACCAAGGCGACGACGGGUAGCCGGCCUGAGAGGGCGAUCGGCCACACUGGGACUGAGACACGGCCCAGACUCCUACGGGAGGCA
rnacentral:rRNA from 1 species